UUGAACGCUGGCGGCAGGCCUAACCCAUGCAAGUCGAGCGGAUGAAGGGAGCUUGCUCCUGGAUUCAGCGGCGGACGGGUGAGUAAUGCCUAGGAAUCUGCCUGGUAGUGGGGGAUAACGUCCGGAAACGGGCGCUAAUACCGCAUACGUCCUGAGGGAGAAAGUGGGGGAUCUUCGGACCUCACGCUAUCAGAUGAGCCUAGGUCGGAUUAGCUAGUUGGUGGGGUAAAGGCCUACCAAGGCGACGAUCCGUAACUGGUCUGAGAGGAUGAUCAGUCACACUGGAACUGAGACACGGUCCAGACUCCUACGGGAGGCAGCAGUGGGGAAUAUUGGACAAUGGGCGAAAGCCUGAUCCAGCCAUGCCGCGUGUGUGAAGUAGGUCUUCGGAUUGUAAAGCACUUUAAGUUGGGAGGAAGGGCAGUAAGUUAAUACCUUGCUGUUUUGACGUUACCAACAGAAUAAGCACCGGCUAACUUCGUG
rnacentral:rRNA from 1 species